GUGAGGGAAGGGGUGACUAGUGGCAGAGUGAGGGAAGGAAGGGGUGACAGAGUGAGGAAGGGGGUGACACGUGACAGAGUGAAGGAGGUGGUGACUGUCACUAAUCACCACCUCCCUCACUCUGUCACUAGUCAUCCCCUCCCUCUCUCUGUCAUUAGUCACACCCUCUCUCUGUCACUAGUCACCCCCUCCCUCACUCUGUCACUAGAGGGGAUGACUGGUGACAGAGUGAGGGAGGUGGUGACUAGUGACAGAGAGAGGGAGGUGGUGACUGUCACUCUGUCCCUAGUCACCCCCUUCCUCAC